GGGAGGUUGAAAGCGCGGGCGACCGACGCGUCCCUGUGUGGAGCGUCUAUCCUUGCUCACGUGGGUGGCAUUCCAGACCCGGGAAGGCUACAGAUGGAGACACUGAGGUCCAGAGAGGGGAAAUGACUUGCCAGAGUAACCCGACCAAUAGGCGGCAAUGCUGGCAUCGGGUCCAACAUCUGACUCCACUCCCUGCUCUUUCAGCACAUGCAAUCCAUUCAGGAAAUGAAAUAAGUAAAGAUUCUUUCUUCAGAGCACAACUGUGUAUAACUAGGCAUGCACAUCCACAGUAACAGUACUAGAGUCAGGAAACAAUUUCAGAAGAAGGCGCUGGGGAUACAGCGGUGAACCUGGCAAAGCCCCCAGGCGGAGGAAACAGGAAGGAGCCCUGCAGAGAUGAAAUGCCAGGGCUGGCAGGAGAUUCCAAGCGGACUCGAACCCACAUCUACCGGCCCCGCAUCUGCAGUCCGACCCAAUACGGAGGACAAGCCUUGGCAGCGAUGUUUACUGAGCACCAACUAUGUUCCAGGCACUAGACAUGGGAAUACCCAUGGCCAACCAGGAACCUGUCCUCACAAGGCUCACAGGAACCCAGACAAGUGCACAGGCACUUUAGAGUCCAACGUGAACCAAACCCAGGAAGGCUUCCUGAGAGAGGCGACCUCAAAAUG